GAUGAACGCUGGCGGCGUGCCUAAUACAUGCAAGUCGAGCGAACGGACGAGAAGCUUGCUUCUCUGAUGUUAGCGGCGGACGGGUGAGUAACACGUGGAUAACCUACCUAUAAGACUGGGAUAACUUCGGGAAACCGGAGCUAAUACCGGAUAAUAUUUUGAACCGCAUGGUUCAAAAGUGAAAGACGGUCUUGCUGUCACUUAUAGAUGGAUCCGCGCUGCAUUAGCUAGUUGGUAAGGUAACGGCUUACCAAGGCAACGAUGCAUAGCCGACCUGAGAGGGUGAUCGGCCACACUGGAACUGAGACACGGUACAGAGUCCUACGGGAGGCAGAAGUAGGGAAUCUUCCGCAAUGGGCGAAAGCCUGACGGAGCAACGCCGCGUGAGUGAUGAAGGGCUUCGGAUCGUAAAACUCUGUUAUUAGGGAAGAACAUAUGUGUAAGUAACUGUGCACAUCUUGACGGUACCGAAUCAGAAAGCCACGGCUAACUACGU
rnacentral:rRNA from 1 species